rnacentral:lncRNA from 10 species
CAGCCAGCAAAGCCCUUGGAAGUGAUCUUGAUUCAUCUCUUGCCAGCUUAGUAGGCAAUCUUGGAAUUUCUGGUACCACAACAAAAAAAUGUAUAUUUUGUCGUUGAAAUUGAGACAUAUCUUUCAGUGGAUGGUGUCUUACGAUCACUGUAAGGCAGGUUGCAGUCAUGAUACAGUUGUGUGAAACAUUCUGCUGAACCCUCUAAGAUCCAGAAAGUGCCAUCAUCAGUGCAUCUUAAAUUCAACAAAAUCGAAGUGUACAGUAUAUAUGAUAUAUUUAUUUGCAUUUUUAAUAACAAAUGAAUCCAGUUGGAUUUUUCUGACAUACUUUUCUUUAUAGAGGAUAGGAAAUUCCUAUACUUAUUGAGGUCCAAACUCUAAAUGAUUUUUUUUCAAAUGCUUUUAAGCUUUCUUAGUUACAGCAUGGCAAGAUUCCUCUGUAAGUUUUAACUGCUGUUCUUAUUACUAUACCACUUGACUAAAUAAACUGCUUUUAAACCCAAAUAAAAUAAUCUAAGGAGCCACACAC